GACGAACGCUGGCGGCGUGCUUAACACAUGCAAGUCGAACGGAAAGGCCCUGCUUUUGUGGGGUGCUCGAGUGGCGAACGGGUGAGUAACACGUGAGUAACCUGCCCUUGACUUUGGGAUAACUUCAGGAAACUGGGGCUAAUACCGGAUAGGAGCUCCUGCUGCAUGGUGGGGGUUGGAAAGUUUCGGCGGUUGGGGAUGGACUCGCGGCUUAUCAGCUUGUUGGUGGGGUAGUGGCUUACCAAGGCUUUGACGGGUAGCCGGCCUGAGAGGGUGACCGGCCACAUUGGGACUGAGAUACGGCCCAGACUCCUACGGGAGACAGCAGUGGGGAAUAUUGCACAAUGGGCGGAAGCCUGAUGCAGCAACGCCGCGUGCGGGAUGACGGCCUUCGGGUUGUAAACCGCUUUCGCCUGUGACGAAGCGUGAGUGACGGUAAUGGGUAAAGAAGCACCAGCUAACUACGUG
rnacentral:rRNA from 1 species